UUGACCUCGGAGGGGUAGGAAUAACCCCUGAACUUAAGCAUAUCAAUAACCGGAG
rnacentral:rRNA from 1 species